rnacentral:tRNA from 1 species
GAUCCCGUAGCUCAGUUGGCAGAGCAUCUGACUUUUAAUCAGAGGGUCGCAGGUUCGAGCCCUGCCGGGAUCA